CUGUAAUAUUCUGAAAGCAUUGUCAUAUCCUUCAGGUUUAACUGGAAUGACAGUUUAGGUGUCAAAAUUUGAGACGUAAAGUUAAAUGCAGAGUAUUUCAGGAAGAGGAGUAGCAUUUGCAUAGCACAUGUCCAGAAGAUGACUGCUCAGCUGGAAGCAAUUCAAAUUACAAGAGCCUGAAGAAUAAGAAAGCUAGUUCAAGGAGCUGUGUUCCACUGUACAUGGUUUUCCGAGGGGAUCAAAAGAG
rnacentral:lncRNA from 1 species